rnacentral:rRNA from 1 species
AUUGAACGCUGGCGGCAGGCCUAACACAUGCAAGUCGAGCGGAGCGGGGACGGGUGAGUAACACGUGGGUAAGCUCCCAUCAGAGGGGAUAACACUUGGAAACAGGUGCUAAACCGAUACUGAUGGAUGAACUCGCGGUGCAUUAGCUAGUUGGUGAGGUAACGGCUCACCAAAGACACGAUGCAUAGCCGACCUGGGAAGAUGAUCAGCCACACUGGGACUAAGACACGGCCCAGGAUACUACGGGAGGCAGCAGUAGGGAAUCUUCGGCAAUGGACGAAAGUCUGACCGAGCAACGCCGCGUGAGUGAAGAAGGUUUUCGGAUCGUAAAACUCUGUUGUUAGAGAAGCGGUAUCUAACCAGAAAGCCACGGCUAACUACGUGCCAGCAGCCGCGGUAAUUC